UGCCUAAACCCAGCAGAAAUGCGGGGCAUGGCACAGAAACCAAGUGCAUACUGAACCCAUCGUUCAGGCUCCAUGCACUUGGUCAUACCCCGAAAGGGGUAUGGACGGCUUCGGCUGUC
rnacentral:sRNA from 1 species